ensembl:lncRNA
AGGAAUUGUUUAAAAGUGUUUCUAACUGUCUCCUUAGCGUUGGCUCACAGGUCUGAAUCACAGAGAAAAGAGCCUCCCUGCGAAGCUGACAGUUCAAAGAUACAAAGGAAAAAUUUGCAAGGACACACAUGGAAAACUUGAGUUGUGCUCAAGUAAAUUUGAUUCACUGUAAAUGUCACUGCAGAUAAAGCUUUUCAAGAAGGGUGCAAGAGUAGACAGGACUUGGAGGAUCAGCUAGUAACCUGCUGGACACAUGGAUAGGUCAUGUGGAUUCCUUACACGGCAGGAAGUUGGAAGUUGGACAACCUACUUGGAUUUCAUCCGUAAGACCAUGGACAACAUAUGCUGCUGUCUGAAUGACAAACAAGUGAAAGGACAAGACGUGUCUGAAAAGAACAAAAGCCCCAAGAAAACCCUGAAGCGCUUUUCCAUUCCUGCAGAGAAUAACCCUCCAGGAGUCAAAAAAACAAAAAAAAAAAAAAAAAAAAAAAAAACCACCUCUGAACACCCUAACAGAAGUGCCCUUUGAGGCUUUCAAGUCAAGAAAGUCUUCCCCUAAAUUUAAGACUCCCUUCUACCCCACUCAAUUUGGAGCACUCAGCUGAAGGGCUCUGUGCUCUAACCAUCAGAAGAUAAUUCAGAGGCCUGUAGCCUAGAGCAGCUUCCUCUUGUUAGGGACAGAAAUACAAGGAGUCCUUUCCCAAGAUAUUCCAAAUGGUUUUGUCCAAGGGAGACUUUCAAUUGACUUUGGUUGCCUCAGAUCUUAUCUCAAUAUGGCACUCACACAUAGAAUCAAAGCUUUUGUGUGUGCUGAAGUUCUGCGGCAGCUAGGAGAACAGUUGUUCAGAUUGGACAAUUAUGGCUAUGCAACACUUCUACAGGAUUGGUUUUACAAAGAACUGUACUCGCUGGUUUUGAGACCAAAUAGGGUUUUCCGAGACUGAAGUCACACUCCAAAAUUAAGGUACUGUAUGUUAAAAAAAAAAAAAAAAAAAAAAAGUAGCUCUAUAAAUGAAAUGUCAAAAUCUGGUAAUUACAUGAAAGACAUUGUGGAAAACAUGUGACAUACUGGUUUUUAUCAGUUGUGAAAAUGUUGAGGACACAGUUCCUCUUCCUUGUUUUUACUUAACUGCUCAGAUUUUCAACUCUUGCUCAGGAAAACAUUCUCUGACAAUUUUGUAUCUGUGGGUACAUAGGCUUCCCAAUACUUAAUUCUUUAUUUUUUCAAAUAAUUUGUUCUCAUACAACUUUUCUUAGAAAAAAUUAUCACCUCUCCAAAAAGUUUGUAAAAAAAACCUCCUCUGAGUUUCUGAAGCUGAAGCAGGAGAGUGGAACUGGAAAUGGAUUGAGGACUACUGCACAGAUGCUGUGGGGAAGGCGGACAAGGCAGUCUUUAAGACUGUUCUACCAUACACCAGGGGCUCUCAGCUGCUUGAGCUCUUACAGUAAGGGGCCCUUACAUCUUCUGACUCACAGAGGCCUAAGCACAGUGUUGUAUCUGGCCAUUUUUUUGAGGACAGUCCACAUCACCAUGCCACCACUGCACAGGAUAUUCUGCAGCAAGGCUUCUUUGUGGUUGUUGCCUACAGAGACUCAGAGGCACUCAGUCAGGCUCUUCCAUUUAUGACGCUGUUGUUCUUACUGUUAAGUCAAGCAACGUCUUUAGAUUUAAUUUCCUUUCCAUUAUAAUCUAUAACAGGGUAAUAUCAUGGUUCCUUCUGCCACACUCUCAAGCACAUAUAAUAUCUGGUGUGUGGGAAAUAAAGACAUAAUGUCAUUUCUGAUUUGGUUGUCUUCUCUCCUUAAUAUUUUAAUAGAUGCCUAAUGUAACUUUUAUGUUCAGAAAGAGUUCAUUAGUUUACAAAUUAGCAGCCUGAAGUGAAUUUUGCUACCAUUGAGUGACUUUCCAUUUCUAGCAAUAUGCUUGUUUGGAUUUUUCUUUUUUAGGAUUAGUGUUUAUAAAAUAUUAGCGAGAUGAAUCAUUCAACUACAUAAACUAUUGAGACAUCUAUGAUCAGUUCUUCCUCUUAUUGUCUGCUCUUCCACCCACACCUUAUGCCACUUCCAAACUCAAAACCCUCCCCACCAUUUUUGCUGCUGACAGAAGAAAAUGUUGUAUCUCUGCAUCUGAUUCAGGAAGGCAGGUUAAGGAAAUUAGAUAGGCUGGAUUAAAAAAAAAAAACAAAAAAAACUGGUGAUGACAUGGUAAACUUCACUCUGAAAGCUGCUCAGUGUCUGCCUCUAAAGUUUAAGAGACUGCCACUGGCCUUAGGUAGCUUCCAAAGUGUGAGGCUAAAAGAUCAAUGACCAGAGCCUCCUCAGGUGUGAAAAGACAGCCUAAAAACUGAAAUCUUGGAAGAGACUUCAAAGAAGUAGAUUCAAUUAAUAAACAAAACCAAAAGCAAAUCAACAGCAACAACUCUUAGGAGACAGAUCUAUAUAUUUUCCUGGUAUUACAAAGACCAGUUUGAUGGCACUGACAGAAUAUCUUCAGGUUCUCUUCAUGCCUGGAAUGUUUAACUAGUCUUAUGAACUGCAUUCAUGUCAACACUGGAAGUUCUUGAGUAAGAAUGACUAAGAACAUAAAAGUGUUCAGUGAAAAGAAUUGAUAAAGUUCUGCUGAAUUUCAGCAACUGACCUGCAGUGAGUUUGGAUUCUCCCCUCCCUCCCCCCCCCCCUCCCAUAUUUUUUUGUUUUUAAUAAGAUGAAGCAUGUGAGGAAGAAGAAUAAUCCAAGGCAACAAAGGAUUACGAGAGGAAGGUAACCUACUAUGUUAAGUGUAUUUUCAGGCCAGUCCUGCUUAAGGACCACCUGAUGUCAGCAGUUUGCUGUAGUAAAACCAGUGGGAAUGAAGGGCAAAAUCAGGUCCCCGCAGUAUAGAAAGAAGGGCUUCAUAGCAAGAAAAGAGAAAGCAGCUUCACAAGGUAGACAUAAGGGGCAAAUAGAGAGAGUUUAUGUAGAGAGUAUUAGAAAACAAGGGAUUCCAAGCACUUUCACGGGUGCUAGGUCCGGAAUAACAAGGAGAAUGAAGACCAUAAAGAUAAGGACUGGAGAACAGCUCGAAAACAUUUGGCAGGGAGGUGAUUAGAUGUCUGAAGUGCAAGCUGAAACCAGUUCGGGGGAUGCCCCCCCUUCGGGGUCAGAAGUUGGCAGUGAGGAAGACUACGAGCCUUCGCGAGGAAGACUACGAGCCUUCAUCAUCACGACCUACUACGCACGCGCAAGGAGGGGAGGGACUGUAUGCUAAUGAGCUCUCGGGAAUGUAGUGAAUAUGUAUCCGAAUUCCUGUCAACUACUGAUUAUGUAUUAGUUUGACCUAUAUCUAUAGCACGAUUUCUUUGGACGGUGUGCAAGUUAGGUGGAACGAUCCCCCUUGCACCAGGGUGUACGCGCGUCACUAAUAAACACAUACCUGCU